ACUCAAAGGAAUUGACGGGACCCCGCACAAGCGGUGGAUCAUGUUGUUUAAUUCGAAGAUACGCGAAAAACCUUACCAGGUCUUGACAUACUAUGCAAAGGCUAAGAGAUUAGUACGGAGGUUAACAUAGAUACAGGUGGUGCAUGGUUGUCGUCAGCUCGUGUCGUGAGAUGUUGGGUUAAGUCCCGCAACGAGCGCAACCCUUAUUGCUAGUUACCAUCAUUAAGUUGGGGACUCUAGCGAGACUGCCAGUGAUAAACUGGAGGAAGGUGGGGAUGACGUCAAAUCAUCAUGCCCCUUAUGACCUGGGCUACAAACGUGAUACAAUGGCGAAAACAAAGGGAAGCGAAGCAGUGAUGUGAAGCAAAACUCAAAAAAGUCGUCUCAGUUCGGAUUGGAGUCUGCAACUCGACUCCAUGAAGUGGGAAUCGCUAGUAAUCGCAGAUCAGCAUGCUGCGGUGAAUACGUUCUCGGGGUUUGUACACACCGCCCGU
rnacentral:rRNA from 1 species